CACGGGGGGAGCAAGCGUUGUCCGGAUUCAUUGGGCGUAAAGGGCGCGUAGGCGGCGUGGUAAGUCAGCUGUGAAAUCUCCGAGCUUAACUCGGAACGGUCAGCUGAUACUGCUGUGCUAGAGUGCAGAAAGGGCAAUCGGAAUUCUUGGUGUAGCGGUGAAAUGCGUAGAUAUCAAGAGGAACACCUGAGGCGAAGGCGGGUUGCUAGGCUGACACUGACGCUGAGGCGCGAAAGCUAGGGUAGCAAACGGG
rnacentral:rRNA from 1 species